AUUGAACGCUGGCGGCAUGCCUUACACAUGCAAGUCGAACGGUAACGGGCCUUCGGGUGCCGACGAGUGGCGAACGGGUGAGUAAUACAUCGGAACGUGCCCGAUCGUGGGGGAUAACGAGGCGAAAGCUUUGCUAAUACCGCAUACGAUCUACGGAUGAAAGCAGGGGACCGCAAGGCCUUGCGCGGACGGAGCGGCCGAUGGCAGAUUAGGUGGUUGGUGGGAUAAAAGCUUACCAAGCCGACGAUCUGUAGCUGGUCUGAGAGGAUGAUCAGCCACACUGGGACUGAGACACGGCCCAGACUCCUACGGGAGGCAGCAGUGGGGAAUUUUGGACAAAGGGCGCAAGCCUGAUCCAGCCAUGCCGCGUGCAGGAUGAAGGCCUUCGGGUUGUAAACUGCUUUUGUACGGAACGAAAAGCCUUCUUUUAAUACAGGAGGGUCAUGACGGUACCGUAAGAAUAAGCACCGGCUAACUACGUG
rnacentral:rRNA from 1 species